rnacentral:rRNA from 1 species
CAAUAUGUCAGCGGCAGACGGGUGAGUAACGCGUGGGAACGUACCUUUUGGUUCGGAACAACUGAGGGAAACUUCAGCUAAUACCGGAUAAGCCCUUACGGGGAAAGAUUUAUCGCCGAAAGAUCGGCCCGCGUCUGAUUAGCUAGUUGGUGAGGUAAUGGCUCACCAAGGCGACGAUCAGUAGCUGGUCUGAGAGGAUGAUCAGCCACAUUGGGACUGAGACACGGCCCAAACUCCUACGGGAGGCAGCAGUGGGGAAUAUUGGACAAUGGGCGCAAGCCUGAUCCAGCCAUGCCGCGUGAGUGAUGAAGGCCCUAGGGUUGUAAAGCUCUUUUGUGCGGGAAGAUAAUGACGGGUACC